ACAUAUCCCCUCUUAUUAUAAAACGCGGUAUCAAACAAGUAUCGGCUUUUGUACUACCUUUAAUCCACCUUUAAGUACGACCUUGAAAAAACGUUAUUACAAAACGCAGUUUAUCGCAAGUCCUAUUACUAUCUGUAGUACAAAAGAUAAACCAUUGAGCCCCCUAGUUUAACUGCAGUACUUAGUCGACAAACGUCAAAUUCCGACAUUAUUUACUUUUGAGGUUAUUUGUUUUGUGAUGAAAAAAACGAAAGUGGAUAUAAAUAUGUGUGAUUUGGAAUACUUGGAUGUGUUAGAAUACUAUUGAGAGUGUCCGGGGACCCAACAGAAUGCGUCAUCGACAAAAUCUCUUCAAAUUACCUGACGACAAUUUUCGAUAUAAAUAUCGAUUUACGUUUUUCGAAAUAAUAGUCAAUUGAAUGCAUGAUGAUAAUCCAGGAUGAUCCUAUGAUGCUCAACUGGGCUCGCCAUAAAAUUCAAGACUAUUUUGGCGUUUUGCACGCCGUAUCUCUGCCAGUAAUAUGCAAUGUUUGUAAAAGACUGGAAGCUUGCUUAAAUGUACAAAAAUGCCUAGAUGAGAAAGGGAACAAGAUUGUGUGAUGAAGAACAGUGUCCAACAUGUAUCAGUGCAUUUGACUGUAUAAAUAGACAUCGGAAUAAAAUAUAAUUUUCUACUUUUAUGUUGUUUCAAAUGUUUCAUUUUCUUUUGGUAAUUUAAUGCACACGAUAUUCUGUGUGUAGGUAAGUUAUUGUGCACUUAAUUUUGAAGAGGUUCUAAUUAGAUGCACAAUGUCUUAUUUAAUCAUUUAAAUCGGGAUGAAAAUAAUCCAAAUUAUUUCUAACCUAAAAACAAAACAACUCGGAUACGCGCGCUGACGUUCCGUUAUACGCGCAAACUCGAUAGUUGUUUAAAAGAGAAUAAUUGGAUCAUGUAUAUCGUUAAAAGAUACUAGAAAUAUAAAAUUACCUUUAAAUAAUAAAAAGUAAUAUUUUCAACUGCAGAGAUAUUUUUUUUAUUAUCAUAGUUAUUUAUUUUUCAUCAAAAUAGACUUAACAAAAUAAUGUA
rnacentral:lncRNA from 1 species